rnacentral:rRNA from 1 species
CCUGCAGGAAAGGACAUCAACCGAGACUCCGCAAGUAGCGGCGAGCGAACGCGGACCAGGCCAGUGGCAAUGAGGAAUAAAGUGGAAAGAUCUGGAAAGGUCUGCCGUAGCGGGUGACAGCCCCGUACACGUAGAACACUCAUUGUCCUUGAGUAGGGCGGGACACGAGAAAUCCUGUCUGAACAUGGGGAGACCACUCUCCAAGCCUAAGUACUCGUGCAUGACCGAUAGCGAACAAGUACCGUGAGGGAAAGGUGAAAAGCACCCCGACAAGGGGAGUGAAAUAGAACCUGAAACCGGAUGCCUACAAACAGUCGGAGCCCGCAAGGGUGACGGCGUACCUUUUGUAUAAUGGGUCAACGACUUAGUGUGGCAUGCAAGCUUAAGCCGGUAGGUGGAGGCGUAGCGAAAGCGAGUCUGAACAGGGCGCUUUAGUAUGUCGCAUUAGACCCGAAACCGAGUGAUCUAGCCAUGAGCAGGUUGAAGGUUGGGUAACACCAACUGGAGGACCGAACCCGCAUCUGUUGCAAUAGAUUGGGAUGACUUGUGGCUAGGGGUGAAAGGCCAAUCAAACUCGGAAAUAGCUGGUUCUCCGCGAAAUCUAUUUAGGUAGAGCGUCGACCGAAUACCCCCGGGGGUAGAGCACUGGAUGGGCUAUGGGGACUCACCGUCUUACUGAUCCUAACCAAACUCCGAAUACCGGGGAGUACUAGUCGGCAGACACACGGCGGGUGCUAACGUCCGUCGUGAAGAGGGCAACAACCCUGACCUCCAGCUAAGGUCCCCAAGUCAUGGCUAAGUGGGAAAGGAUGUGAGGAUCCCAAAACAACCAGGAUGUUGGCUUAGAAGCAGCCAUCAUUUAAAGAAAGCGUAACAGCUCACUGGUCUAAAUAAGGGUCUUUGCGCCGAAAAUGUAACGGGGCUAAAGCCAUGCACCGAAGCUGAGGCUUGUAGCAUUCCUCGGAGUGCUGCAGGGGUAGCGGAGCGUUCCGUAAGCCUGCGAAGGGAUACCCGUGAGGGGUCCUGGAGGUAUCGGAAGUGCGAAUGUUGACAUGAGUAACGAUAAAGAGGGUGAGAGACCCUCUCGCCGAAAGACCAAGGGUUCCUGCUUAAAGUUAAUCUGAGCAGGGUUAGCCGGCCCCUAAGACGAGGCGGACACGCGUAGUCGAUGGGAACCACGUUAAUAUUCGUGGGCCUGGUGGUAGUGACGGAUUGCUUAACUUGUUCGGACUUAAUGGAUUGUCCGGGCGGGGACGCGGUUCCAGGAAAUAGCUCCACCGUAUAGACCGUACCCGAAACCGACACAGGUGGUCAGGUAGAGUAUACCAAGGCGCUUGAGAGAACUAUGCUGAAGGAACUCGGCAAAUUGCACGCGUAACUUCGGAAGAAGCGUGACCCUUUUUGACGCAAGUCAGAUGGGGUGGCACAGACCAGGGGGUAGCGACUGUUUAUCAAAAACACAGGGCUCUGCGAAGUCGCAAGACGACGUAUAGGGUCUGACGCCUGCCCGGUGCUGGAAGGUUAAGAGGAGGGGUGCAAGCUCUGAAUCGAAGCCCCAGUAAACGGCGGCCGUAACUAUAACGGUCCUAAGGUAGCGAAAUUCCUUGUCGGGUAAGUUCCGACCUGCACGAAUGGCGUAACGACUUCCCCGCUGUCUCCAGCAUAGACUCAGUGAAAUUGAAUUCCCCGUGAAGAUGCGGGGUUCCUGCGGUCAGACGGAAAGACCCCGUGCACCUUUACUAUAGCUUUACACUGGCAUUCGUGUCGGCAUGUGUAGGAUAGGUGGUAGGCUUUGAAGCGGGGACGCCAGUUCUCGUGGAGCCAUCCUUGAAAUACCACCCUUAUCGUCAUGGAUGUCUAACCGCGGUCCGUUAUCCGGAUCCGGGACAGUGUAU